GACGAACGCUGGAGGCGUGCUUAACACAUGCAAGUCGAACGAUGAAAUGGAGCUUGCUCCAUGGAUUAGUGGCGAACGGGUGAGUAACACGUGAAUAACCUGCCCUUAAUUUUGGAAUAACCCAGGGAAACCUGGGCUAAUACCGGAUAAGUAAACCUGUGGCAUCACAUGGUUUUGGAAAGUUUUUCGAUUAAGGAUGGAUUCGCGGCCUAUCAGCUUGUUGGUGAGGUAAUGGCUCACCAAGGCGACGACGGGUAGCCGGCCUGAGAGGGUGAACGGCCACACUGGGACUGAGACACGGCCCAGACUCCUACGGGAGGCAGCAGUGGGGAAUAUUGCGCAAUGGACGAAAGUCUGACGCAGCGACGCCUCGUGAGGGACGAAGGUCUUCGGAUUGUAAAUCUCUUUCAGCAGGGACGAAGCGAAAGUGACGGUACCUGCAGAAGAAGCACCGGCUAACUAUGUGCCAGCAGCCGCGGUAA
rnacentral:rRNA from 1 species